AACGCGAAGAACCUUACCCAGGCUCGAAAUGUAAUGGACGAUAUCAGAGAUGAUAUUUUCCGCAAGGACUAUUAUAUAGGUGCUGCAUGGCUGUCGUCAGCUCGUGCCGUGAGAUGUUGGGUUAAGUCCCGCAACGAGCGCAACCCUUAUUGCCAGUUGCCAUCAUUUAGUUGGGAACUCUGGCGAAACUGCCUCGGAUAACGGGGAGGAAGGUGGGGAUGACGUCAAGUCCUCAUGGCCUUUAUGUCCAGGGCUACACACGUGCUACAAUGGCCGGUACAAACCGUCGCAAACCCGUGAGGGGGAGCUAAUCGGAAAAAGCCGGCCUCAGUUCGGAUUGGAGUCUGCAACUCGACUCCAUGAGGCUGGAAUCGCUAGUAAUCGCGGAUCAGCACGCCGCGGUGAAUACGUUCCCGGGCCUUGUACACACCGACGCGUA
rnacentral:rRNA from 1 species